AACGCAUCUUGCGCUUCUUGGUAUUCCAAGGAGCAUGCCUGUUUGAGUGUCAUUAAAGCUCUCAAAAAAAUUCCAUGCUUUCUGGCGUGUGGCUUUUUUUGGAUCAUGGGGGUUCUUUUUUGCAGGCCCAAAAGGUCGGCUCCCCUGAAAUGUAUUAGUGGUAUCUGUGCGGACUACAGGUGUGAUAAAUGAAAUCUAUGCCUUUGUCUUUUUGCCUGUGCUGCUUCUAACCAAUAUGUUGGGUUUUGACAAAUUUGACCUCAAAUCAGGUAGGACUACCCGCUGAACUUAA
rnacentral:misc_RNA from 1 species